rnacentral:rRNA from 1 species
UGGGGAAUAUUGGACAAUGGGCGCAAGCCUGAUCCAGCCAUGCCGCGUGAGUGAUGAAGGCCCUAGGGUUGUAAAGCUCUUUCACCGGUGAAGAUAAUGACGGUAACCGGAGAAGAAGCCCCGGCUAACUUCGUGCCAGCAGCCGCGGUAAUACGAAGGGGGCUAGCGUUGUUCGGAUUUACUGGGCGUAAAGCGCACGUAGGCGGACUUUUAAGUCAGGGGUGAAAUCCCGGGGCUCAACCCCGGAACUGCCUUUGAUACUGGAAGUCUUGAGUAUGGUAGAGGUGAGUGGAAUUCCGAGUGUAGAGGUUAAAUUCGUAGAUAUUCGGAGGAACACCAGUUGCGAAGGCGGCUCACUGGGCCAUUACUGACGAUGAGGUGCGAAAGCGUGGGGAGCAAACAGG